CCCUUUGAAACCGCACGCUUUUCGUCCUAUAUGGAAGGUGCCGGUUCGCCGGCUAUGGCAAUAAACGGGCGGUACAAUAAGCCUAUCGGACCCGGGGGCGGUACCCGGCGCCUCCACCAAAAACACCGCGCAGGACGCAAGACGCGCAAGUGCGGUGCUGCUGAUGGGGGCGAAACAGGAUCGACGAGGGUGUAAAAACCGUACUUUUGCCCGGCAUGAUACCACCGUUAUCGGGUCAAACUUGUAGUUGCAAACGACAACUAUGCAGAGGCACGUCUCGCUGCCUAAUGGCGGUGCGACAGCUUCACCGAAACUCCUAGUCGGUAUGCUCGGCUAGGCGGGGUUCGGAGGCACCUGGCAACAGAAGCCUCCACU
rfam:Lyngbya confervoides BDT141951 scaffold_114, whole genome shotgun sequence.